UUAAAAAGCUCGUAGUUGAACUUCAGACCUGGCUGGGCGGUCUGCCUCACGGUAUGUACUGUCUGGCUGGGUCUUACCUCUUGGUGAGCCGCAUGCCCUUUACUGGGUGUGUUGGGGAACCAGGACUUUUACCUUGAGAAAAUUAGAGUGUUCAAAGCAGGCUUAUGCCCGAAUACAUUAGCAUGGAAUAAUAAAAUAGGACGUGCGGUUCUAUUUUGUUGGUUUCUAGAAUCGCCAUAAUGAUUAAUAGGGAUAGUUGGGGGCAUUAGUAUUCCGUUGCUAGAGGUGAAAUUCUUGGAUUUACGGAAGACUAACUACUGC
rnacentral:rRNA from 1 species